ensembl:misc_RNA Metazoa_SRP Metazoan signal recognition particle RNA
GCUAGGUGUGGCGGUGCACACCUGUGGUCCCAGCUACUUGGGAGGCUGAGGUGGGAGGAUUGCUUGAGCCCAGGAGGUCAAGGCUGCAGUGAGCAGUGAUCAUGCCUCUGCACUCCAGCCUGGGUGACAGAGCAAGACCCAGUCUCGA